rnacentral:rRNA from 1 species
CAUGUGUAGCGGUGAAAUGCGCAGAGAUAUGGAGGAACACCAGUGGCGAAGGCGACUUUCUGGUCUGUAACUGACGCUGAUGUGCGAAAGCGUGGGGAUCAAACAGGAUUAGAUACCCUGGUAGUCCACGCCGUAAACGAUGAGUGCUAAGUGUUAGGGGGUUUCCGCCCCUUAGUGCUGCAGCUAACGCAUUAAGCACUCCGCCUGGGGAGUACGACCGCAAGGUUGAAACUCAAAGGAAUUGACGGGGACCCGCACAAGCGGUGGAGCAUGUGGUUUAACUCGAAGCAACGCGAAGAACCUUACCAAAUCUUGACAUCCUCUGACCCCUCUAGAGAUAGAGUUUUCCCCUUCGGGGGGACAGAGUGACAGGUGGUGCAUGGUUGUCGUCAGCUCGUGUCGUGAGAUGUUGGGUUAAGUCCCGCAGCGAGCGCAACCCUUAAGCUUAGUUGCCAUCAUUAAGUUGGGCACUCUAAGUUGACUGCCGGUGACAAACCGGAGGAAGGUGGGGAUGACGUCAAAUCAUCAUGCCCCUUAUGAUUUGGGCUACACACGUGCUACAAUGGACAAUACAAAGGGCAGCGAAACCGCGAGGUCAAGCAAAUCCCAUAAAGUUGUUCUCAGUUCGGAUUGUAGUCUGCAACUCGACUAUAUGAAGCUGGAAUCGCUAGUAAUCGUAGAUCAGCAUGCUACGGUGAAUACGUUCCCGGGUCUUGUACACACCGCCCGUCACACCACGAGAGUUUGUAACACCCGAAGCCGGUGGAGUAACCAUU